UCUGUCCCUUCUUUCAUAUUCUUGGUCAUCGAAUCUUUUCUUCCUGUUGGAGCCGACGGUGUUACUUUCUGGGACUAUUCGAAGGGUGGAAGAUCUUUAACUGGUGUUAGGGUAGAUGAAACUUCCCUCUCUACUUGAUCGAAGGUAAUCUCCAAACAUAGGUGGAUCGGUGCAGCGAGGGACUCAAAGGUGGCCACACAACCGCAUAUAUUUUCAUAUUUGAUUAUGAUUAUAAGUAUUAUUAUUUGGGGUAUUUUUACUAUAAUAAGGCCUUUAUGGAUUUUUACUUUAA